CAUAUGUUCUAGUUUAGUUUAAUCCACGGUUUCUCCCUGUGAUACCAGGAAACAGAAUAACCAGGUGUACCUAGCACAUGCUGUCUUAUAACAGGAAAGAGUUGGAAGGACUGCACGGAUGACAUCUUCGUAGUACCGUGGUGCAUUGCAAGGGUAUAUCAUCUCUUGGCAGCUUCUAAAGUAGCGCACCGUGGCCGCCGUAUAUCAGAUGUCCAUUCUUCUCCUUAGACCAGAGUGGGAAUAUCAGCCAUAACCCCACCACUUGACUAAUGCAUGAACUCCAUGUACUGGGAUUCAAAGACCCCUUUCAACAAACUCAAAAUAAACAGCAACAUCUUAUUUUAAAUGUGAUGCCACAAAAAAAGAAGAAAUACUUUUUGAGAGGAAUGAAAGCAAGAGGCUGUCUGCCAAGAACACUGCUGUCAUCAUCAUAGCUGAGAAUGACAAGUUUCUCUAAGGAGAUUGCUAAUUCAAUGUGAUAGCGCUAUCCAUCCAGAAGCAAACGAAGCUGACAUGGUGAUCAUCAGCUGAAAGAUCAGACGCUCAGCUUGUUGACAUUCUUGUUCCAGCGGCUGAGGGAAGGAGUAAGCAAAAAAAAGCUCUGAACCUGCUAUAAUCACCGGUUUGAGGUGCAAAAAGCAAGAAAAAGAGGCUGGAAAUGAGAACAUCAGUGAUUUGCAUUGGCAGUAUGGGGAAGAGUUGUCAAGAAAAGCUUGGCACUAACUGCCUCCAGGAAUAGCCUGGGCCAUCGUGCCUCCAGUGCUGUAAUUCUGGCAGCAGCAGCGUUGCCUUAGGCAGCAAGUGUGCCUUCUCCGCUUCUCAGCAGAACAUUUUGAAAGAUAGUCAGCCAGGAGUGAGACAAACAUGAAGAAGACUGCAAACUACUGCAAGAGGCUAGUGUGCAGCUUGGUUUGCUACUGCCAGAUCUAAACAAAGCUGCUUGUAGGAGUGUGAGGUUUAAGGGAGGAUGUUAAUGGUAUAGUUGGGACUGAUGAGAAAAACCUCCCUAAAAAGAAAUACAGGUGAAUGGUUAGUCAACAGAAAAUUGUUGUUUAGUCUUGAUUCACUGAUUAAUUGCCUUUCAAUUAAUGAUAUGGUCUUGCAUGCCUUUUAUGAGGCUCAGUAAAACUGCAGUGGUCUUGAAUGUGAUUAUGUUCUUCAAUAGUCAAAAAAGAAAGGGAAGGAAAAAAAUUAGGGAU
rnacentral:lncRNA from 1 species